CGGGGUGCACCAGGCGCGAAAACUUCGCAAUGCACGAAAGUGCGACGAGGCUACUUCGAGUGCCGUCCGCUGAGGAUGGCUUUUGCCAAGUCUAAAUAGCUUGGAGAAUAAGGGGAGGGCAAGUCUGGUGUCAGCCGCCGCGGUAAUACCAGCUCCCCGAGUGGUCGGGAUGAUUAUUGGGCCUAAAGCAUCCGUAGCCGGUUCCGUAGGUCUCCUGUUAAAUUCAACGGCUCAACCGUUGAGCUGCAGGAGAUACCGCGGGGCUAGGAGGCGGGAGAGGCGGACGGUACUCCGUGGGUAGGGGUAAAAUCCUCUGAUCCUCGGAAGACCACCAGUGGCGAAGGCGGUCCGCCAGAACGCGCUCGACGGUGAGGGAUGAAAGCUGGGGGAGCGAACCGGAUUAGAUACCCGGGUAGUCCCAGCUGUAAACGAUGCGAGCUAGGUGAUAGAAUGAUUUCGUAUCAUUCUAGUGCCGCAGGGAAGCCGUUAAGCUCGCCGCCUGGGGAGUACGGUCGCAAGACUGAAACUUAAAGGAAUUG
rnacentral:rRNA from 1 species